rnacentral:rRNA from 1 species
UACGUAGGGUGCGAGCGUUGUCCGGAAUUAUUGGGCGUAAAGGGCUCGUAGGCGGUCUGUUGCGUCAGGAGUGAAAACUCGGGGCUUAACCCCGAGCCUGCUUCUGAUACGGGCAGACUAGAGGUAUGCAGGGGAGAACGGAAUUCCUGGUGUAGCGGUGAAAUGCGCAGAUAUCAGGAGGAACACCGAUGGCGAAGGCAGGUCUCUGGGCAUUAACUGACGCUGAGGAGCGAAAGCAUGGGGAGCGAACAGG